rnacentral:rRNA from 1 species
GAUGAACGCUAGCGAUAGGCUUAACACAUGCAAGUCGAGGGGCAGCACAAGGUAGCUUGCUAUCUGGGUGGCGACCGGCGCACGGGUGCGUAACGCGUAUGCAACUUGCCCUAUACAGGAGGAUAACCCGUCGAAAGACGGACUAAUACUGCGUAUGCUCACAACUUGGCAUCAAGUGGUGAGGAAAGAAAUUCGGUAUAGGAUAGGCAUGCGUCCCAUUAGCUUGUUGGUGAGGUAACGGCUCACCAAGGCAACGAUGGGUAGGGGAACUGAGAGGUUUAUCCCCCACACUGGUACUGAGACACGGACCAGACUCCUACGGGAGGCAGCAGUGAGGAAGAGUGGUCAAUGGGCGCGAGCCUGAACCAGCCAAGUCGCGUGAAGGAUGACUGUCUUAUGGAUUGUAAACUUCUUUUAUACGGGAAUAACAAGAGUCACGUGUGACUCCCUGCAUGUACCGGAUGAAUAAGCAGCGGCUAACUCCGUG